rnacentral:rRNA from 1 species
UACGUAGGGGGGCAAGCGUUGUCCGGAAUUAUUGGGCGUAAAGAGCGUGUAGGCGGCCAGAUAAGUCCGCUGUGAAAUCUCGAGGCUCAACUUCGAGCUGUCGGUGGAAACUGUCUGGCUAGAGUCCGGAAGAGGAGAAUGGAAUUCCUGGUGUAGCGGUGAAAUGCGCAGAUAUCAGGAAGAACACCCGUGGCGAAGGCGGUUCUCUGGGACGGUACUGACGCUGAGACGCGAAAGCGUGGGGAGCGAACAGG